CGGCUGACCAAAUCUCAUAUCACUGAGAGUGCUGUGCAGUUCAGCACGUACUGACCGUACGUAAAAUGGCUAAACUCCUUUUAAUCCUCCUCUGCAGAGGUCUGUUUUGAAGACGAUCAACCAGCAGCUUUACCUUCUUCUUGACUUUCUCCCCCAGUUUUCUUGCUCACGCGUCGUGUGCGCUCUCCAUGGUGCUGAAAGGCAUCAACGCAAUCCGCUCAAACAAACGGCCUUGGCUACCCAGACGACAUUUCACAAGUAAUGCAAAUCAAGUUUAGGCACAUUCAGAGCACAAACAAUGCAACCAUGAUAGGACAUGUAUAAUUUGUAUAGUAUACAAUAUAAUUAUCACGCAGUUUGCAACUCUGCAUACAAUCAGUGUAUAACAUCACCGCCGGUUUUGUUCGUCAAAAAGCAAGACAGCCAAGAAGCCAGCUUUGCCUCCCCAGCUUUACUCUACAAGCAUGUCCUCAGACGUGCAGCCGUGUGAUGAAGCGGACCAACUAACUUCCAGAGAGCACCGGACGAAGGAAACCCGCUGCACGAGUAGCAGAAAAGCCUGAGAGCAGGGGCAUCCCAAGCUGACCCCAUCCGGAGACUUCUUCCUGGGCUGAACACAAUGGUGACUGUUUGACAGUGGAAGUGGAGGUUUACUGUAUAGUAGCUCAGCUGGAGUUCCUCACCCCUUCAUGACAUGCAGUGAGCCGAUGCCACCAGCAGGUAUGGUGGACAAUUGUAAUUAAGAUUAAUGACCUAUUGUGAUUUUUAAGUUGUUACUGCUCCAGAACAUAUUAGUUACUUACAUUUUUCUAAAUGGAUUUCAUGUUUUGCAUAUCAGCCAUCUAUAGAGUUGUGGUCUGUUAGGAGAGCAGCAAGUGUCUGCUUGAGAGAUAGCGUUGUGGUCUGUUAGGAGAGCAGCAAGUGUCUGCUUGAGAGAUAGCGUUGUGGUCUGUUAGGAGAGCAGCAAGUGUCUGCUUGAGAGAUAGCGUUGUGGUCUGUUAGGAGAGCAGCAAGUGUCUGCUUGAGAGGGGCCACUUGAACAGCUCUUGAAGUCACACAGGUUCCCUGCCUCACUUGAUAGAGCAGCUGUUUAGGAGCAGAGUAAACAAAGGUAGCAGAUGUAAAAUAAACACCUGAGCGGGGUCCACACAUCCGGUUUUCAGGAGGAAAGGAAGCUAGGUUGAAAAUACUGUAUCCCUGAAAUCAAGAUGUUUCCCCGCUGAGGGUGGGAGCAGAACAGGCAUGAUAAUUACUCACUUGUUCAAUACAAUUGCAAAGUUAACACUUAACACAUAAUACACUUCCAGCUUUGCCUAUACAUUCCCACCAUGUGCGCAUCAGGUAUGGUCACUUUUAGAUGAACCCAGGCUCUAAUGGAACGUUUGCGAGGCUGGCACCAGGGGUGCAUUUGAUAUAGCAGUGAGGAGCAAAGGUGUCUUUUUAAAAGUUUACAUUUAGUCGGUUAUGUGUUUGAUUAAACGGACAUAGGCCUUUAGAGCAUUAACCCAGCGGUGGUGGGGCUAAUCGAGCGGUGGUGGGACUAAUCGAGCGGUGGUGGGACUAAUCGAGCAGUGGUGCGGUGCACAUCAGUGGAGCUGAGAGAUGGCACCAGUUGAAAGGAAUGCCUGAUUAUCACACUUACAACCACAGCAGGCUGACACAUCUACACUGAGCUGCUGGUGUUAAAUCACACUUUUUAAUUUUAUUCCUAUGCAAUUAAAAGGUUAUUUUUGCUUUGUAUGGAUAAGCUAAGGCACCAGCGAUGGAGGCUUGUUAAGGAAGAGGAUGUAAUUAAGCUAAAAUGGGAGAAUGGAAUAAGAGCAUGUGCAAACCUUCCGCUCUUAACGUGUUCAGCACAAUGGAGCGGUAAGGAAGUCCUCUCUAGACGGGUUCUUGAGCAGCUACAUUGACCAUGCUAGUCACCACCACUCAGAACACAGAGAUGUGUUGAGAUACAGCAUGCCCAUCUCCGGUCCAAAUAAGAACUUACAUUGCAUGCUUUCCUGAUGCAACUCUGUAGCCUAUAUUCUGUAACAAUAGGGUUCUCGCAAGCCUGAGAUUCAGCUCAAGGAACAUCGAAAAAAUCUGACAAUCAAACCAGUCACAGCGCAUAAAAUCCAGCUGAUUUGUGCUGUCAUACAGCAGUCAUUACACCUGGAGCAGAUGAUGGGUUAUUCAUCUGACGUUGAAGGAUUCAGAACUUAUACAGACUGUACUGUAAGAACUCCACAGCACUGAGUGAUGCUCCCCCAGAUCUUUGUCUAGCACUGUGAAGUAUAGAUCAAAUAAAAUAGUGUCAUUGCAUUUCCUACAAAGACUAUUGGAGGUCGUUGAACUAAGCGGUAUGUUGUGUGUUUUUGUUCUUCUUCUGUGCAUUGUGUCAGCAUAUUUCAUAAAAAAAUGUUGAAGAGAUGUAGUGACCCGGUAGUUGGUUGUAAAACCCAAGCUUGCUGUUUAGUAUUUCAGGGCUCUCUAGUCUAUACGGUGGUGAAUUACACUUCCUCAGAUGAACCCAGUGAUGAUUGUAGUGUAAAAGCUUGAUAGAAUACAUCAGAAGCCAUUACUCUUCAAAAUUGGUUCUAGGUGAUCUGUUUAGUGUCCCACAGGGGGAGACCUGAAUACAUUAAAUCAUGCAGGUUGGCAUUUAUUGGGAUGACUUAUGUAAAAGCUUAUGUACUGGAGGAAGCUUUGCAGGGUAGUCACUAGCUGGCACAGCCACAAAGUCAUACAGUUGGAUUUUAAACGUAACCCUCCAGGACAAGAUUCAUCCCAAUAAACGUCAACAUGCUUUAAUCAUGGCCGGAGAAAAUUGAAGAUCUGUUGAUAUCAUUGUAAUGAAUCAUCCACGCUGUAUCUCUCUCUAACUCUCUUUCCUGGUCUCCUCCCUCUGAAUUAGCCAGGCAUCUAAAAGGUUGCAGUGUCUUUGUGGUGCAUCGUGACUCUGUUCCAUUCUAAUCAAGAGGGUUCACUGCAUUACCCUUGGGCUAGCAGCUAGCUUAUCAGCUAUUGUUGGGACACAGCUUAGAGAUGGAAGAAAGAGCUUCCCACUGCUGUCUGUAAACAGUGCCGAAUCCUUUGUUGUACCAUAACAGAGACCCAAGACUGCUUAGUAAUAGUAGUACUACUAAGUAGUAGUACCAUCGAUCACAAGAUAUUUCUCUGCCUGUUUUCGGUUCUCAGACACAGCUGAGGAAGCCUCAGGUGUUCCUAAGUCCUGCCACUCAUCCAGUAAUAAUUCCGGCUGUCAUUCCCGGUGCUUAAUUGCACUAAGCCUCGGCACCAGAUAAAUCCGGGACUGCGCUUCUAGCUCCAUUAUUAUUGGCUCCAUAAAACAUUCAGCACUCCCCGCUCCCGUUGGAACCAUGACGGAGCAGUGACAUUGUCAUUUUGCAGCCAGAUCUAAUUCCUCCAUGAUGUGGGAUUGGAAGAUUGGAAGACAGAAGACAUGGAGAGAUGGUUUCCCCUCCCUGCCCUCUGACCUCUCACACACAGGUUGGCUAUCGGAGUUACAUUUGAUGGCGAGGGUCACAGAGAAUGAGUUCAAGAGAGGAAAGUGUUAAGGGGGGAUUAUUUUUCCAACCCCCCCCCCUAGACUCAGUAGGUAGAGAAUGAUACAGCCAGCCUGGCUCAUCUGGCUGUUAUUGUUACCAACUCUACCCAGACAGAAUAUACUGGACUCUAGAGGGAUGUUUUCCACCACAGUGCUACUGCUGUUGCUGCUGCUGACUGUGUGAAUGUUUGUGAGGGAGCCUCAUGUCAAUUUCUCCCCUUUCGGGUCAUGAACACUAACGAGCAAUUAGACAGGAAGAGGGACGAUGAUACGAGGCUGAAGAAAUGUCUCCCUACAGUCCUGGUGAGUUUGAGCUCUUUCAGGCAGAGUCUGACAGGACUGGGCCUUUAAUCAUUCACAGCCACUAACAGGACCAGUGAGACUGUCUGAACAGGUCUGUGUUAUGUCAGAAAGAAAGAUAGCAUCUCAAACAUUUGACAUUCACACUCCAGGAAGCACGUACAGAUACACACGCACAUACACUCAUGGUCUCACAGCACACUGGCACACAUACGCACACACACACACACACACACACACACACACACACACACACACACACACACACACACACACACACACACACACACACACACACACA